GACGUAGGGCGCGAGCGUUGUCCGGAUUUAUUGGGCGUAAAGAGCUCGUAGGCGGCUUGUCGCGUCGACUGUGAAAACUCCGGGGGCUCAACUCCGAGCUUGCAGUCGAUACGGGCAGGCUAGAGUUCGGUAGGGGAGACUGGAAUUCCUGGUGUAGCGGUGAAAUGCGCAGAUAUCAGGAGGAACACCGGUGGCGAAGGCGGGUCUCUGGGCCGAUACUGACGCUGAGGAGCGAAAGCGUGGGGAGCGAACGG
rnacentral:rRNA from 1 species